rnacentral:rRNA from 1 species
CAAUAGCGUAUAUUAAAGUUGUUGCAGUUAAAAAGCUCGUAGUUGGAUUUCUGUUCUCGAGGAUCGGUCCGCCUCACGGUGAGCACUGGUUUUUCUUGGGGACAUCCUCUCGAAGGCGGGUGGUGCACUUAAUUGUGUGCUGCUUGGAUUCGGGACCUUUACUUUGAAAAAUUAGAGUGUUCAAAGCAGGCGUCGGCUUGAAUACAUUAGCAUGGAAUAAUAGGAAUAGGUACUUUUGGUUCUUAUUUUGUUUGGUUUUCUUAGGACCGAAGUAAUGAUUAAUAGGGACAGUUGGGGGCAUUAGUAUUUAAUUGUCAGAGGUGAAAUUCUUGGAUUUAUGAAAGACUAACUACUGCGAAAGCAUUUGCCAAGGAUGUUUUCAUUUAAUCAAGAACGAAAGUUAGGGGAU